rnacentral:rRNA from 1 species
UACGUAGGCGGAAAAUUAAGUCAGUAGUGAAAUCCCACAGCUUAACUGUGGAACUGUUAUUGAUACUGGUUUUCUUGAAUAUAGUUGAGGUAGGCGGAAUGUGUAAUGUAGCGGUGAAAUGCUUAGAUAUUACACAGAACACCGAUUGCGAAGGCAGCUUACUAAGCUAUGAUUGACGCUGAGGUACGAAAGCGUGGGGAGCGAACAGGAUUAGAUACCCUGGAGUCC